UACGGAGGGCGCAAUCGUUGUUCGGAAUCACUGGGCGUAAAGCGCGUGUAGGCGGCUCUGCAAGUCGGGUGUGAAAUCCCGAGGCUCAACCUCGGAACUGCACUCGAUACUGCUUGGCUCGAGUCCCGGAGAGGGUGGCGGAAUUCCCGGUGUAGGGGUGAAAUCCGUAGAUAUCGGGAGGAACACCAGUGGCGAAGGCGGCCACCUGGACGGUGACUGACGCUGAGACGCGAAAGCGUGGGGAGAAAACAGG
rnacentral:rRNA from 1 species